GUUACUCCGAGUUGAUUGGAUGGGCAAAGUGAAACCACAGAAUUGGGCUUUAAAACCAAGUGGAUUUACUCUGCUAAAUUUUACAACUAGGAUCUUCUGCUCUGGGUGGAGAGUUGGACAAAAUAACUUCGAAUUUGAGAAACUGCCGCGAUGAAUGUCAGUCCCCAGAGCCGGAACCGUUCCCGGUUUUCUCUACUUGGAUCUGAGAACUCUGUCCCUCCAGCCCUGCGAGCGCUUUGCCAGGGUGACGGGCGGAAAUGUCCCCGCAUCCGUGCCUGCUUUCCCAGAUGGGACCCUCCAGCAGUCCCCUCCACUGCCCGUGCUUCCUCCUAACCACUUCCCCCCAGCGACCGCGGAAGGCGCUUCCUCCCCCGCAGCGCGAGCCCCAAGCUCCUCCAGAGCCCCAGCUCUCCCCGCCCCCUUCCCGACCUUGUUUCAUAUGACCCCUCCCCCGCACAUACUCAAUUUCGUCUUCCCAAGGCGCCCACUCUCCACAUCCUGAUGAAAAAAAGAGCCGGCUGCUGUCCUA
rnacentral:lncRNA from 10 species